rnacentral:rRNA from 1 species
UGGGGGAUAUUGCACAAUGGGGGAGCCCUGAUGCAGCGACGCCGCGUGAGUGAAGAAGUAAUUCGUUAUGUAAAGCUCUAUCAGCAGGGAAGAAAAUGACGGUACCUGACUAAGAAGCCCCGGCUAACUACGUGCCAGCAGCCGCGGUAAUACGUAGGGGGCAAGCGCUAUCCGGAUUUACUGGGUGUAAAGGGAGCGUAGGCGGCGAUGCAAGUCAGAAGUGAAAGCCCGCAGCUCAACUGCGGGACUGCUUUUGAAACUGUAUUGCUAGAUUGCAGGAGAGGUAAGUGGAAUUCCUAGUGUAGCGGUGAAAUGCGUAGAUAUUAGGAGGAACACCAGUGGCGAAGGCGGCCUGCUGGACUGUAACUGACGUUGAGGCUCGAAAGCGUGGGGAGCAAACAGGAUUAGAUACC